rnacentral:rRNA from 1 species
UACGGAGGGUGCGAGCGUUAAUCGGAAUUACUGGGCGUAAAGCGUGCGCAGGCGGUUUGUUAAGUCUGCUGUGAAAUCCCCCGAGCUCAACUUGGGAAUUGCAGUGGAUACUGGCAAGCUGGAGUACGGUAGAGGAAGGUGGAAUUCCCGGUGUAGCAGUGAAAUGCGUAGAGAUCGGGAGGAACACCAGUGGCGAAGGCGGCCUUCUGGACCAGUACUGACGCUCAUGCACGAAAGCGUGGGGAGCAAACAGG